UAAAGAUUCAUCGCUGAUAGAUAGGCAUGCGUUCCAUUAGGCAGUUGGCGGGGUAACGGCCCACCAAACCGACGAUGGAUAGGGGUUCUGAGAGGAAGGUCCCCCACAUUGGUACUGAGACACGGACCAAACUCCUACGGGAGACAGCAGUGAGGAAUAUUGGUCAAUGGGCGUAAGCCUGAACCAGCCAAGUCGCGUGAGGGAUGAAGGUUCUAUGGAUCGUAAACCUCUUUUAUAAGGGAAUAAAGUGCGGGACGUGUCCCGUUUUGUAUGUACCUUAUGAAUAAGGAUCGGCUAACUCCGUGCCAGCAGCCGCGGUAAUACGGAGGAUCCGAGCGUUAUCCGGAUUUAUUGGGUUUAAAGGGUGCGUAGGCGGCCUUUUAAGUCAGCGGUGAAAGUCUGUGGCUCAACCAUAGAAUUGCCGUUGAAACUGGGAGGCUUGAGUAUGUUUGAGGCAGGCGGAAUGCGUGGUGUAGCGGUGAAAUGCUUAGAUAUCACGCAGAACCCCGAUUGCGAAGGCAGCCUGCCAAGCCAUGACUGACGCUGAUGCACGAAAGCGUGGGGAUCAAACAGGAUUAGAUACCCUGGUAGUCCACGCAGUAAACGAUGAUCACUAGCUGUUUGCGAUACACAGUAA
rnacentral:rRNA from 1 species